AGAGUUUGAUCCUGGCUCAGGACGAACGCUGGCGGCGCGCCUAACACAUGCAAGUCGAACGAGAGAUGAGGAGCUUGCUCUUCAAAUCGAGUGGCGAACGGGUGAGUAACGCGUGAGGAACCUGCCUCAAAGAGGGGGACAACAGUUGGAAACGACUGCUAAUACCGCAUAAGCCCACGGCUCGGCAUCGAGCAGAGGGAAAAGGAGUGAUCCGCUUUGAGAUGGCCUCGCGUCCGAUUAGCUAGUUGGUGAGGUAACGGCCCACCAAGGCGACGAUCGGUAGCCGGACUGAGAGGUUGAACGGCCACAUUGGGACUGAGACACGGCCCAGACUCCUACGGGAGGCAGCAGUGGGGAAUAUUGCACAAUGGGGGAAACCCUGAUGCAGCGACGCCGCGUGGAGGAAGAAGGUCUUCGGAUUGUAAACUCCUGUUGUUGAGGAAGAUAAUGACGGUACUCAACAAGGAAGUGACGGCUAACUACGUGCCAGCAGCCGCGGUAAAACGUAGGUCACAAGCGUUGUCCGGAAUUACUGGGUGUAAAGGGAGCGCAGGCGGGAGAACAAGUUGGAAGUGAAAUCCAUGGGCUCAACCCAUGAACUGCUUUCAAAACUGUUUUUCUUGAGUAGUGCAGAGGUAGGCGGAAUUCCCGGUGUAGCGGUGGAAUGCGUAGAUAUCGGGAGGAACACCAGUGGCGAAGGCGGCCUACUGGGCACCAACUGACGCUGAGGCUCGAAAGUGUGGGUAGCAAACAGGAUUAGAUACCCUGGUAGUCCACACCGUAAACGAUGAUUACUAGGUGUUGGAGGAUUGACCCCUUCAGUGCCGCAGUUAACACAAUAAGUAAUCCACCUGGGGAGUACGACCGCAAGGUUGAAACUCAAAGGAAUUGACGGGGGCCCGCACAAGCAGUGGAGUAU
rnacentral:rRNA from 1 species